rnacentral:rRNA from 1 species
AGGGCGCACGGUGGAUGCCUUGGCACUAAGAGCCGAUGAAGGACGUGACUAACGACGAUAUUCUAGGGGGAGCAGUAAGUACGCAUUGAUCCCUAGGUCUCCGAAUGGGGAAACCCAGCUGCUACUAGCAGUUAUUCAUGAGUGAAUACAUAGCUCAUGUAAAGGUAACGCAGAGAACUGAAACAUCUAAGUACCUGCAGGAAGAGAAAGUAAAAACGAUUUCGUAAGUAGCGGCGAGCGAACGCGAAGAAGGGCAAACCAAGAAGCUUGCUUCUUGGGGUUGUAGGACUGCAACGUGGACUUAAGCAUUAUAGUCGAAUAACCUGGGAAGGUUAAUCAAAGAGGGUAAUAAUCCCGUAGACGAAAUAGCGCUUAUACCUAGCAGUAUCCUGAGUAGGGCUGGACACGCGAAAUCCAGUUUGAAUCCGGGAGGACCAUCUCCCAACCCUAAAUACUCCUUAGUGACCGAUAGUGAACCAGUACCGUGAGGGAAAGGUGAAAAGAACCCCGAGAGGGGAGUGAAAUAGCACCUGAAACCGUGUGCCUACAAGAAGUUCGAGCCCGUUAAUGGGUGAGAGCGUGCCUUUUGUAGAAUGAACCGGCGAGUUACGUUAUGAUGCGAGGUUAAGUUGAAGAGACGGAGCCGUAGGGAAACCGAGUCUGAAUAGGGCGACUUAGUAUCAUGAUGUAGACCCGAAACCUAGUGACCUAUCCAUGAGCAGGGUGAAGGUGUGGUAAGACGCACUGGAGGCCCGAACCAGGACACGUUGAAAAGUGUUUGGAUGACUUGUGGAUAGCGGAGAAAUUCCAAACGAACUGGGAGAUAGCUGGUUCUCUCCGAAAUAGCUUUAGGGCUAGCGUCGAAAUGUAAGUGUAUUGGAGGUAGAGCACUGUUUGGGUGAGGGGUCCGUCUAGGAUUACCAAUCUCAGAUAAACUCCGAAUGCUAAUACACAUGUUCGGCAGUCAGACUGCGAGUGCUAAGAUCCGUAGUCGAAAGGGAAACAGCCCAGACCAACAGCUAAGGUCCCAAAAUAUAUGUUAAGUGGAAAAGGAUGUGGGGUUGCACAGACAACUAGGAUGUUAGCUCAGAAGCAGCUAUCAUUCAAAGAGUGCGUAAUAGCUCACUAGUCGAGUGACCCUGCGCCGAAAAUGUACCGGGGCUAAACAUAUUACCGAAGCUUUGGAUUUAAUUUAAUUAAAUUAAAUGGUAGGAGAGCGUUCUUAACCGCGAUGAAGGUAUACCGUGAGGAGUGCUGGAGCGUUAAGAAGUGAGAAUGCCGGUAUGAGUAGCGCAAGAUAAGUGAGAAUCUUAUCCACCGUAAGACUAAGGUUUCCAGGGGAAGGCUCGUCCGCCCUGGGUUAGUCGGGACCUAAGGCGAGGCCGAAAGGCGUAGUCGAUGGACAACUGGUUGAUAUUCCAGUACUAGAUAUGAUCGUGAUGGAGGGACGCAGUAGGCUAAGAGAUGCCAGUUAAUGGAUUCUGGUCUAAGCAGUGAGGUGUGAGAUGUGUCAAAUGCAUUUCUCUUUAACAUUGAGCUGUGAUGGGGAAGCAACUACGGUUGCGAACUCUCUGAUGUCACACUGCCAAGAAAAGCUUCUAGCGUAAAGUCAUAUCUACCCGUACCGCAAACCGACACAGGUAGUCGAGGCGAGUAGCCUCAGGUGAUCGAGAGAACUCUCGUUAAGGAACUCGGCAAAAUAGCCCCGUAACUUCGGGAGAAGGGGUGCUGGUGUAAAAGCCAGCCGCAGUGAAUAGGCCCAAGCAACUGUUUAUCAAAAACACAGCUCUCUGCUAAACCGCAAGGUGAUGUAUAGGGGGUGACGCCUGCCCGGUGCUGGAAGGUUAAGAGGAGUGCUUAGACGUAAGUCGAAGGUAUGAAUUGAAGCCCCAGUAAACGGCGGCCGUAACUAUAACGGUCCUAAGGUAGCGAAAUUCCUUGUCGGGUAAGUUCCGACCCGCACGAAAGGCGUAAUGAUUUGGGCACUGUCUCAACGAGAGACUCGGUGAAAUUUUAGUACCUGUGAAGAUGCAGGUUACCCGCGACAGGACGGAAAGACCCCAUGGAGCUUUACUGUAGUUUGAUAUUGAGUACCUGUAAGUCAUGUACAGGAUAGGUAGGAGCCAUUGAAAUAGGGACGCUAGUUUCUAUUGAGGCGUUGUUGGGAUACUACCCUUGACUUAUGGUUACUCUAACCCGCUGGCAUAAUCGGCCAGGGAGACAGUGUCUGACGGACAGUUUGACUGGGGCGGUCGCCUCCUAAAGAGUAACGGAGGCGCUCAAAGGUUGGCUCAGAUUGGUUGGAAAUCAAUCGUAGAGUGUAAAGGUAAAAGCCAGCUUGACUGCGAGAGCUACAACUCGAGCAGGUAGGAAACUAGGACUUAGUGAUCCGGUGGUACCGCAUGGAAGGGCCAUCGCUCAACGGAUAAAAGCUACCCUGGGGAUAACAGGCUUAUCUCCCCCAAGAGUUCACAUCGACGGGGAGGUUUGGCACCUCGAUGUCGGCUCA